AAUCUUCCACAAUGGGGGGAACCCUGACGCAUCAACGCCGCGUGUGUGACUUUUGUUAUCGGUUCGUAAAGCUCUGUCACCGGGGACGAAGAAGUGACGGUACCCGAGGAGGAAGCCCCGGCUACUUACGUUCCUGCAGCCGCGGUAAUACGUAGGGGGCGAGCGUUGUCCGGAAUUACUGGGCGUAAAGGGUGCGUAGGCGGCCUUUUAAGUCAGAUGUGGAAGCCCAUGGCUUAACCGUGGGAUUGCAUUUGGAACUGGAGGGCUUGAGUAUCGGAGAGGGUAGUAGAAUUCCCAGUGUAGCGGUGAAAUGCGUAGAUAUUGGGAAGAACCCCAGUGGCGAAGGCGACUACCUGGACGAAAACUGACGCUGAUGCACGAAAGCUGGGGGAGCAAACA
rnacentral:rRNA from 1 species